rnacentral:lncRNA from 1 species
CCUCUUCGAACCUAGAAACAACCUCAUUCACUUGUUAAACUUUUCAUCAAGAGCACAUAUAACCAAGCAAGACCUACUGCUAGUCAGUAAACCAGAACUUUCCAAAUUAUGUCUAACCUUCAUUGCAGGCGCGUAAUUCAUCCCAGAGAAUUCGAAAUUAGACCACAAGAAUUCUUUUACCUUCCUAAUGUCAGUUGUUGUAUCACUUCCUUAGGAAAUUACCACUAGUUGUCCUCGAUUAAAUCAUUUCAGCCUCACAGCUCAUAAUAAGAGAUCAUAUCUGACCAUUAGAAGUCAAGC